rnacentral:rRNA from 1 species
CCUGAUCCAGCCAUGCCGCGUGUGUGAAGAAGGCCUUAUGGUUGUAAAGCACUUUAAGCGAGGAGGAGGCUACCUAGAAUAAUACUCUAGGAUAGUGGACGUUACUCGCAGAAUAAGCACCGGCUAACUCUGUGCCAGCAGCCGCGGUAAUACAGAGGGUGCGAGCGUUAAUCGGAUUUACUGGGCGUAAAGCGUACGUAGGCGGCUUAUUAAGUCGGAUGUGAAAUCCCUGAGCUUAACUUAGGAAUUGCAUUCGAUACUGGUGAGCUAGAGUAUGGGAGAGGAUGGUAGAAUUCCAGGUGUAGCGGUGAAAUGCGUAGAGAUCUGGAGGAAUACCGAUGGCGAAGGCAGCCAUCUGGCCUAAUACUGACGCUGAGGUACGAAAGCAUGGGGAGCAAACAGGAUUAGAUACCCUGGUAGUCCAUGCCGUAAACGAUGUCUACUAGCCGUUGGGGCCUUUGAGGCUUUAGUGGCGCAGCUAACGCGAUAAGUAGACCGCCUGGGGAGUACGGUCGCAAGACUAAAACUCAAAUGAAUUGACGGGGGCCCGCACAAGCGGUGGAGCAUGUGGUUUAAUUCGAUGCAACGCGAAGAACCUUACCUGGUCUUGACAUAGUAAGAACUUUCCAGAGAUGGAUUGGUGCCUUCGGGAGCUUACAUACAGGUGCUGCAUGGCUGUCGUCAGCUCGUGUCGUGAGAUGUUGGGUUAAGUCCCGCAACGAGCGCAACCCUUUUCCUUAUUUGCCAGCACUUCGGGUGGGAACUUUAAGGAUACUGCCAGUGACAAACUGGAGGAAGGCGGGGACGACGUCAAGUCAUCAUGGCCCUUACGACCAGGGCUACACACGUGCUACAAUGGUCGGUACAAAGGGUUGCUACCUAGCGAUAGGAUGCUAAUCUCAAAAAGCCGAUCGUAGUCCGGAUUGGAGUCUGCAACUCGACUCCAUGAAGUCGGAAUCGCUAGUAAUCGCGGAUCAGAAUGCCGCGGUGAAUACGUUCCCGGGCCUUGUACACACCGCCCGUCACACCAUGGGAGUUUGUUGCACCAGAAGUAGGUAGUCUAACCUUAGGGAGGACGCUUACCACGGUGUGGCCGACGACUGGGGUGAAGUCGUAACAAGGUAGCCGUAGGGGAACCUGCGGCUG